UGGUAGAGAUUAAAUGUUUCCUGUCUCUCUUGAGUUAUUUUAUUAGCAGAAAGCUAGGGCACCCAGAGUUUGACAGUUCUUAACCAUCUUCUACAUGUACACUAUCACCUUCAGAAACUGAAGCAAAUCAGAAAAAGGAUCACCCCACCCCCGACCAGUUCUCAUGGGCUGACCGAGGAACGUGAGGUAUUUUAUGCACAUACACCUCUGUCCCCGACCCAUGCACAUACGUUGUUCAUUGUUGUCUUUUGAUGGUUUUGAGACAAGCUCUCGCUAUGUGGCACAGGCUGGCCUCAAACUUGCCAUUCUCCUGCCUCAGCCCCCCUUAGUGCUGGGAUUACACUUGUGGGACGCCACACAUUGCAUGCUGUCCGUUUUAAAUCCAGCUAUCCAGUUAAAAUUCAGGAGUCUAAACUUGGAGAGACUUGUUUAAGUUCUUCAUGAUGACAGCUCUGAGUGGAUCUCCCACCAUUCUCUCGCCAAGCUCCCUGGGUCCCACAAAGCACCGGUGUCACUGGCUCUCCACUCGUAAUUCACACCCAGGGAUAGAAUUUAAGGAAUUGGUCCUCACUGACUUGUCUCUGGAAAUAACUGAGUAAGGCAGGGAAUAUCUCCAUGGCCACCUUCUGUUGUCCUAGCCCAACACUGUUUUUUGAUGACCACUGACUGGGCCAUGUGCCUUGACUGUUCUUGACUGUUCCCAGUUCUCCCGAUAGACAGCGAGACUUUCCUAUGGUGAUAGCCUUUGGGCAGGACUAAUGUGUCAACUUAGACUUGGGGUAUGUUGAGUUUUGCUUUAUUUCAUUCUCCCAAGGGAGGUCUAUGAAAUAGACCAUUUUUAGUGAUUCUUUCUAAUCUCUUGGCUUCUUCUCUUAUACCUCUCAGUGUUCCACCUUUCCUAAAUUCCUAGUCCCAAGUACCUCAGCAUCCUCGAAACCAGCUGACUCCUCUAAGCCUGCACUUAGUCCAAGAAGAAGGAUGAGAGCUGGAGGACUUCCUGGUGCUGUUCAUGACAGAGCAGUUCAGAGCUGUUCGAAGCCCCCAUACGGCUGAUCUCAGCGGCACACCAUUCAUCUGUGGCACAUGAGGAGUGUGUCCCAGCUUCGCCUGUACGGCUUCCUGGCUGUGCGCUCACAGGCCUUGUUGUAAGUUUCCACUUCUCACCUACCAUUGGGGACAGGCCUCAUGCCUCACAAGGCUCUCCCAAAGGCGGAUCACAAAUGCUAUUAGUCUCAGAGGCCAGCACAUGCUGGGAACCCAAAUAAAAGGCAGCCAUGCUGCAUAGAAACA